CUAGUAACGGCGAGUGAAGCGGGAAGAGCUCAAAUUUGUAAUCUGGUGGACUCAGUCCAUCCGAGUUGUAAUCUAUAGAAGUGUUUUCCGCGCCGGACCGUGUCUAAGUCCCUUGGAACAGGGUGUCAGAGAGGGUGAGAAUCCCGUGCUUGAUACGACCACCGGUGCUAUGUGAUACACUUUCAACGAGUCGAGUUGUUUGGGAAUGCAGCUCAAAAUGGGUGGUAAAUUCCAUCUAAAGCUAAAUAUUGGCGAGAGACCGAUAGCGAACAAGUACCGUGAGGGAAAGAUGAAAAGCACUUUGGAAAGAGAGUUAAACAGUACGUGAAAUUGUUGAAAGGGAAACGAUUGAAGUCAGUCGUGCGCGCUGGGACUCAGCCGGUUCUGCCGGUGUACUUCCCAGUGUGCGGGUCAACAUCAGUUUAGAUCGCUGGAUAAGGGCAUUAGGAACGUGGCUCCCUCGGGAGUGUUAUAGCCUAGUGCCGCAUACAGUGGUUCAGACUGAGGAACGCAGCUCGCCUUUAUGGCCGGGGUUCGCCCAC
rnacentral:rRNA from 1 species